UUGGGACUACCCGUUUCCAAGCUCUGUUGCAGUUCCCUAGCGGGCCGGCCCAGCACUGCUGGAUGCCUGUGACAUGCGCCACAGCCGAACUUGCACAACGCCGCUCCCGGGCGGAGAGAUUGCAUGCACCGGAUACGGUCCUAGAGUGUAGGGACCCCGUAUGGCCACCAAUGUCCCAAUGCCCGGCCGCGUACCAGGGUGAUCAGGUCUGGACGCUGACGCGGGGACAACCAAUGAUGAGCGAUUCAGCCACGGAGGCUGGCUGCUGCUGCUGGCGCGAGGCAGGCUGACGCAGUCUAACGUAGUGGGAUGCUAACGUUUGGGAAGCGAAGGAACGGACAAGGCUAAUGCUCGCGAUGGGUUGGUUGACACAGUCUGAUACACAGUCUGCUAGCUUGCGCUGUUGGCAACACAACCAGCGAGUCAGGGACUCGCUGGCCCGGCAUACCCCUGCUGGACCUGUAGCGGCUCCCAUGCAGGACCGGGUUUGACACGCUGAGUCACACGCACUGAGUCACCCGACAGGCACCGGCAACAACCUACCGCUCAGCACAGCACACACAGCAGAGCCACCCCCAGGGGGGGGGGGUAUGCAGCAGCGGCAAACCACAGACACAACAUCACACGACAGCUGACAUGCGCCACAGCCGAACUUGCACAACGCCGCUCCCGGGCGGAGAGAUCCCCCCCACGACUGAAGACAGGGGAGUCAGCGAGACUGGCAAAGUCGGAAGCACAUACAGACGCACGGGACAGCAAACGCAUGACACCAGGAUGAUACGCGAGUGAGUUCAUGCUACACGACAAACGAGAACAGACACCUAGCUAGUCACACGUCACUGGGUUAGUCAAUCCUCAUUGCUGGCUUCGAGUCCAAGCCAGCUCCAAGCAGAUGUCCGUGGGUGCGCGCUGUUGGGAUGCCAGCGCGGCACACGCCGUUGGGAUGCCGGCGUGCGCGGUGUCCUGCCGUUGGGAUGCCGGCAGGGUUGGUGCAUCAGCGGCGAGGCUGAACACGGCGCUUGGCCGUGGGCUCGCCGCCCUGGGCAGGGGCUGAUGCAGGUGACGAUGGCACUGUUUGCCGUUGCAGGCGUUUUGCAUCGGCCAGGGUGAUGGCCUCGGCGGAGCCUCCCGGCCACUCCACCAUAAAGUAGAAGGGGCGUGACAAGGGCCCGCGGAAGCGCAGAGUGCCGUUCUGCAGCUGCCGCGGUGUUCCGGCUGGGCCAGGAACUGCCCGUACAACUGACACGCCGUCGAGGGUAGCUGCCUCCGCGUCGCGGCGUCGCGUGUCAGCGUUGGGGAACAGCACUGGGCCCGCCGAGGGCCGCUGCGGCGCGGGGCCAGUGGGUGGAGCCUUGCCCAGCUCCACACAGCCCGGGCACAUCCAGGCGCCAGGAGGCACCUUGCUGAGUGGCGGCGUGAGGCAGCGGAGGUGCCAGCCGGUGCCGCAGCCGUCACACAGCAGCAUGCGGGAGGGCGGCUGCGGGCUGCGGCACACUUCGCACUCCAGGUCGUUGCUGGUGCGUAGCAGCCGGGCAUCCUGAAUCGGGUCCAGGUUGGGCAGGUGGCACGGCACUAACUGCUCCACUCGCGCACGGAGGCGUGCGGUGUCGCGGCCGACUAGCGCGACCACGCCCAUGUCGCCCACAUGCUCCACGCGCAGCACCUGGUCGCGUACCGGCAUCUCCAACGUGUUGUCGGGAUUUGCGUUGCGCAGGUACACGUAGUCACCGGGCACAAACUCCAGUGCCCGCGCGCGGUAGCCGCCGCUGCGGGUGAGAGCGUAGCGCUGGGUGUCGCGGUGCUGUGCGAUGAGCAGGUUGCCGGCUGCGGCGGGCGCGUGCCGCCGCAGCCACUCCGAGCGCUGCAGGAGCGCCUCCGCGUAAGCUUGCCCACUGCCGUCGCCGGUGAAGGCUAGCUCGUGCUCCUCAAAGCGCGGGCGGACGGCAGGCGGGAUGAUGGGGUCCACGCCGUAGAGCAGCUUGUAGGGCGAGUAGCGGGUUGAAGCUUGAGGCGAGCAGCAGUAGGCCAGGGCGAGCCAAGGCAGCGCCUUAUCCAACGUGUCGUUGGACUGCGUGCUGCGGCAGUGCUUGCGCAGUGCCGCUUUCACAACCUGCACCAUGCGCUCCGCUAGGCCGUUGGCUUGCGGAUGGUCGGGCUGCGUGCGCCGGUGGUCGAUGGCGUUGGCCUCGCACAGCGCCUGGAACGGACCCUCAAACUCGGUACCGCGGUCAGUCGUGACCUCCGCGGGCGAGCCGAAGCGCGUCAGGAGCUCCACCAGCCCUCGUGCGGUCUCGCUGGCGGACUUGGUGGUGAGCGGGAAAAGCUCGAUCCACUUGGUGAAGUGCUCCACGCACACCAUGACGUAGGUGUAGCCAUCGGGGGAAGUCGGGUGCAAGUUGCCCGCCAGGUCGAUGCCCCAGCGGUAGAACAUGCCGCGGAUUGGCAGCGGCUGCAGUUGAAAAGGCCGCACCAUGCCUCCGGUGUUGGCCAUGUCGCACAGCUUGCAGCGCUGCACAACGCCUUGCACCGUCGCCCGCUGGCCGGCCCACCAGUAGCCCAGCUGGCACAGCGCCAAGGUGCGGCGCUCGCCGAGGUGUCCGAUCUCGUGCGUUUGCUGGACGAUGGCGUCACGGGCCUCCGGCGGCGGGCAGACGCGUGUGUUGCCGUCGGGCAUGAGGCGGAUGAGCUGCUCUCCGGUCCAGCGGUAGCUGGCGGCGCGGCGCUGCACACGUUGCCGCUCCUCGCGGCUGAGGUUGUCAGACUGGGCGCCCAGGCGCAGCAGGUCCAUGACGGGAGCGUCGUUCCAGACGUCUGCGGUGUCCGGGGUUGACGGGUCCAGGGCUGCGGAGGCGAUGGUGGUGCUGACGGCGGCCGGGGCCGCCGACGCCGGCAGUGCGGCAUCAGCCCAGUCCGCUUGCUCCGCAGCUUCUGCCACUGCGGCGUAGACAUGCAGCUGCGCACCCAUGCGCGCCCCGAGGAGACGCUGGUGAAGCAGGGCAAACGCGAGAGUGGUCUCGGUCGCGUCCAGCAGUGGUGACGGCUCGUCUGACAGCGCCAGCGCUGCAAAGGCGGUCUCCAGGUGGUCUGCUGGGCCCAAGGCGGCAGCUCCCCCCCCCCCAGCGUGGAGGCCGGGGCGUCGAUCUGACGAGGGGGAAGCGGCUGCAUGUCGUGGCGCGUGAAGAAGAGGCGGUGGAGAGCCGUGGCGGCAGCCAAGGCGGCCGUGAAGACAGUCGGCGGCGUGUGGCGGCGGAGCAGCUGGACGGCGAAGGAGGCGGGCAAGGAGAGGGAGGAGUGGUGGGUGGAGACGGCGAGCCAGUCCGCUGCGUCCGGGGCGCAGGGCAGGCCAUCAGGGCCGGCACGCAGCGGUGGCGGCUCCGGGGCGGCGGGCGGUGGGGAAGGCGGGGGCAGCGCGGCGAGGGGUUGGCCGGGGGCCUGCAGCGCCACGUAAGGAGGAGGGAGGGGCCGUUGCGCAGCACCAGGCGUGCGGCCGUGCGGCAGCACGGCAGCAAGCAGGCGGCUGGAAAGAGGGCGGAGGUGAGAGAGGGCGGAGUCGACUUGGGAUGAGUCGGCCAGGUUGGUGUAGAGGGAGGUGACGCGAUGCGCGGGGCUGCCGGCCUGUACAGCGUCAAUGCCGGCGGGCGGCCCGAAGGGCGGCGAGGCGUCUGGUGACUCCGCACACCAGGGACCCUCCGCGAGGAAGGCGAGCUGGGGAAGGCGGCGGCUGGCUAGCUGCUGCUGCAGGCCGCCGAGGAGCUGGAGGGCGAGCGAGUCGCGCCAGAGCGCGUGCGAGGCCCAGCUGGUGACCACAAGCCAUUGGCUGCCGUCGUGCAACCGCAGCUGCUCCGCUCCCUCCGGCCCGAGUGCCCAGGGCACCAGGUCCGCCGGUGUGAGGCCGAGGCGGUCGGGGCCGGAGUGCAGCUGCCACGACUGCGGCGGCAGCAGCGGUGCAUGCUGCGUGGAGAGCAUGGGCAGCAGCCGGGCGACAGAGGCACGCACGGCGGGGUCGGUGUCGACGUGGACGUAGCGCCGGAUGCGGAAGCCCAUCCGCAAGGCGGCUUGCAGCCCUGAGGCCAGGCCGCCGGGCAGCUCCAGCAGCGUGAUGCCCGCAUCCCCCAUGGCGGCUGCGAAGAAGUUGUGCUGCACCAGCCGCGUGUCCAGGCCCAGGACGUCGCCCGUGCCGGAGCGCAGGCGGAGGGGCAGUGGCGGGGACCGUGGCAGCUGCCGAAGCUGCACACGCGCGGCUUGGAUGACAGUCGGCCAGCGGGGCUUCCGUGGCGUCAGUGGGGCCGCCGUUGUGUCCGGCAAACAGCUCGUUCGCGUCAGGCACGAUGGCGGUGGCGUUGACCGAGACCACGGAGGGCAGCGCCUGCAGCUGUGCCCAGCGGGCCCGCGCGCCUUGGAUGAGCGCGCCGGCAGGGUAGACCAGGGCCGGGGCGGUGAUGGCAGCCGCGAGCACCCGCUGAGGUGCUGGCCGGCCAUCGGCGCCGAUGGGCACGCCCUCCACAGGCGCCCCCCCAGCGUGAGGCUCCGGUGCCCCCCCAGUGGCGGCUGUGGGUGCCCCCCCAGCGUCGGCUGUGGGUGCCCCCCCAGCUGCAGCUCCCGGCAGCCAGGCGGCGGCCGCCGGGUCCCCGUAGGCCAGGAGUAGCUUGGACUCCAUGAUUGUGAGCUCGUCUGCGGUGUGCGGGCGCGGGCGCUCAUAGAUUGCACGGCCGUGGCGAAGCUCAAGGCCGACGUCGCCACUGUAGCCCACAAGAUCUGCUAACUUGUAGGCGAAGGUGCUCGUGCUGGCGUUCAUGAAGGCCAGAAUUGCGUCACGUUGGGAUGCCGUGACGUCUUGUCGGUCGCAGUGGACCCACCCAUCAGGCUGCCGCUCGAACCGGCCGUCAGGCGGGAGCGAGCGAGGGCCCUCGGGUGUGAAGCUGCCCGGGGCAGAGGCGCCGGCUGGCGCCUCAUCUCCUGCUACUGCCACUGCAGCUGCCGCUGCUGGUUGCGUGCUGCCCGAGGCACUUGAGGUGAAGGCGGUGGCGGUGGCCGCCAACAACCCAAGGAAUGCGUCACGUUGGGAGGCCGUGACGUCGGGACACUCGCAGUAGGCCCACCCAUCUGGCUGCCGCUCAAGGCGGGAGCCGGCGUGCGCGGAGCUGCCAGGCGCUGAUGCGCUAUCAGACGGGUUGACGCCUGCUGACGGCUGCGCGCCGUCUGGGGCGCUCAUGGCGAGCGGCCGCCGGCCACAGUGGCGGGCGGCGGCUUAGGCGAGGAAACGCUGGUGGCGGCGGCGUUGGCUGAGCUGCUGCUGUGCACGCGGCCCAGCGGUCCCGCCCCCCCCAGCAGCGAAGGCGGGGCCGCCACGCAGCGAGAGGUGGUGAUGGAGGAGGCAGGAGCAGAAGCAGGAGGGGCAGGAGAAGAAGUGGCGAGGAGCGGCAGGACCUCUGAGUUGGCCGGCCGCAUCUCGAAGUGCUCAAAGCCGAGCGGCAGGCGCGAGCCGGCCGCGGUACCGGUGGCCUGUGUGGCUUGAGGUGUGCCGCCAGCGGGGGCGGCACGGGAGGAGGCGUCGCCGGCUGCGGCGCCAGCCGUGGGGAGUGCGGCGGCAGCGCCGAUGGCGGAGGCGGCGACGCCGGCGCUGCUCUGGGAUGCAGCAGCGCCCAUGGUGCUGCCUGAGGCAGGACCAGGUGAAGGGGUGAAGACGUAUGCAGCGUCUUGAGGGAUGGAGGCGAAGCCACACGAGGGUGCGGCGGUGAGAAUGGCGCUCUGGGAUGCAGCGCCGAGGAAGUCAGAGGAUGCAGAUGCACCGUUGGCGGCGGCGCAGGGUGCAGCAGCGGGCGCAGUGGAGUCGCCAGGGCUGCUGUGGCCCGUGAGGAUGGGGAAGGCGUAGGCGUAAGGCGCGUACAUGGAGACGGCAGAGCUGACCGGGUCGACGGCAGCGGCGUCACUGCUGGGCGCGGCGCUGGCGGCGGCGGCGGGAGCGCUGGCGGCUGCGGGCAGGGAGCUGCUGGAGGAGGCAGCUGGCGCCGACAGUGUUGCUGAGGCGGGCGUGAGGGCGCCAAUGGCCGCGUGCGCGGCCUCAGGCGCGGCGUCGCUAGCGCUGUCGGAGCCGAGGGCCACAGCGUGUGCGGCCACGCCGCGACCUCCCCCGCGGCCGCCGUGGCGGCCGCCGCGGCCAUCACCGCGGCCACCGCCCAUGCCACCACUGCUCCAGUGACGAGCGCUCCAUGUACACUGAGCUGGCUAGUGCUGCCGGCUCGCUGGCGGGCGAAUCCGUAUGGGCAGAGUAACCAUCAGCGGUAGAGUUGCGAUGACCUGGCCUGCCAUAUGCAAUGUGUCCCGAGAACCUGCCAAUAAAGUGCGCCGAGUGUAGCGAGCUUCGCGAUCGUCAGCCGGCGAAGUGAAAGUGGGCGCCGCGCCCGACUCGACGGAGCCAUACGUUCCGGCGAGACCACUGAUGCAUCUGACAUGCUUCGUGGAUGUAGAUAAGCGAGAGGAAGGGAUGAAUGAGCAAAGCCUUGUUGUCCAGUGAGAAGUAGCCGCAGAGAAGAAGGGCGAGAGCGCAGUGGGAUGCAGCGCCGAGUUCGCCAAUAGCAACUGAGGGUUGUGUUGCAUGUACCGGAUACGGUCCUAGAGUGUCUAAGGGACCCCGUAUGGCCACCAAUGUCCCAAUGCCCGGCCGCGUACCAGGGUGAUCAGGUCUGGACGCUGACGCGGGGACAACCAAUGAUGGGCGAUUCAGCCACGGAGGCUGGCUGCUGCUGCUGGCGCGAGGCAGGCUGACGCAGUCUAACGUAGUGGGAUGCUAUUGCUAACGUUUGGGAAGCGAAGGAACGGACAAGGCUAAUGCUCGCGAUGGGUUGGUUGACACAGUCUGAUACACAGUCUGCUAGCUUGCGCUGUUGGCAACACAACCAGCGAGUCAGGGACUCGCUGGCCCGGCAUACCCCUGCUGGACCUGUAGCGGCUCCCAUGCAGGACCGGGUUUGACACGCUGAGUCACACGCACUGAGUCACCCGACAGGCACCGGUAACAACCUACCGCUCAGCACAGCACACACAGCAGAGCCACCCCCAGGGGGGGGGGGUAUGCAGCAGCGGCAAACCACAGACACAACAUCACACGACACCUGGG
rnacentral:lncRNA from 1 species